rnacentral:lncRNA from 1 species
UUCUCUUCUUCUUAAAACACACCCACCGCUGUGAACCUUCAUCGACACCUUCGCGACAUUUCAUCGAAAUACCUUUCACCAAAAUGACAAUCUCCUCCUUUCAUUUCCGAAAAUAACCUUCAACCGCCCUCACUCCACCCUUUAACAUUGUGCACAUCCUUCAUUCCUCACCACCAAGAACCUCUAUUUCCGGUGAGCUAAAUGAAUCUAUCAUCUCAUCGGCGAUUCGAAACCUCACCGCCACAUUGCGAAAAACACCAUCGCAAAACAAUAAUAGCAUUUCAGAAGAUCAAUUUUUGAAACUCACUUUGAUCUACCUUCGAUAACCCAUUUCCUCUCUUCAAAUCACCGACAGAAAUCCGUUGUGCAACACCGUCCACCACCACGAAUCUCUCUUCGCCAACAACCACGAUUCCCACAAAUCUCCGUCGCAAAUCACUCACCGUCAAUACUGUUUUUACCGCCGCGACUACGAC